rnacentral:rRNA from 1 species
ACGCGACCCCAGGUCAGGUG